AGUGAACGCUGGCGGUAGGCCUAACACAUGCAAGUCGAACGGCAGCACAGUAAGAGCUUGCUCUUACGGGUGGCGAGUGGCGGACGGGUGAGGAAUACAUCGGAAUCUACUUUUUCGUGGGGGAUAACGUAGGGAAACUUACGCUAAUACCGCAUACGACCUACGGGUGAAAGCAGGGGAUCUUCGGACCUUGCGCGAUUGAAUGAGCCGAUGUCGGAUUAGCUAGUUGGCGGGGUAAAGGCCCACCAAGGCGACGAUCCGUAGCUGGUCUGAGAGGAAGAUUCGCCACACGGGAAGUGAGAAACGGCCCAGACACCUACGGUGAGCAGCAGUGGGGAAUAUUGGACAAUGGGCGCAAGCCUGAUCCAGCCAUACCGCGUGGGUCAAGAAGGCCUCCGGGUUGUAAAGCCCUUUUGUUGGGAAAGAAAAGCAGCAGGUUAAUACCCCGCUGUUCUGACGGUACCCAAAGAAUAAGCACCGGCUAACUUCGUG
rnacentral:rRNA from 1 species